rnacentral:rRNA from 1 species
UACGGGGGGAGCAAGCGUUGUUCGGAUUUACUGGGCGUAAAGGGCGCGUAGGCGGCCACCGCAAGUCGGUUGUGAAAUCUCCGGGCUUAACCCGGAAAGGUCAAUCGAUACUGCGGGGCUAGAGUGCAGAAGGGGCAACUGGAAUUCUCGGUGUAGCGGUGAAAUGCGUAGAUAUCGAGAGGAACACCAGUGGCGAAGGCGACUACCUGGCCUGUUCUUGACGCUGAGGCGCGAAAGCUAGGGGAGCAAACGGG